CCAGCAGCCGCGGUAAUUCCAGCUCCAAUAGCGUAUAUUAAAGUUGUUGCAGUUAAAAAGCUCGUAGUUGGAUUUCUGGCCGUCUGCGCCGAAUGUCCGCGUUCCAAAAGGGAUGUGUGUUUACGUUCGGUGCCGGUCACAUCUUCUGGAAGUCUGCGAUGCUCUUCACUGAGUCGUCGUACGAAAUCCAGAUCGUUUACUUUGAGAAAAUUAGAGUGUUCAAGGCAGGCAUUGUUGCCGUGAAUAUGUUAGCAUGGAAUAAUAAGAUAGGACUUUGGUCGUAUUUUGUUGGUUUCUACAGCCGAAGUAAUGAUUGAUAGGGACAGUUGGGGGUGCUAGUAUUC
rnacentral:rRNA from 1 species